UAUUUACUUUAGGCUGAAAAUUUGUACAUCUAGCCAAACUGUUGCCUUAAAACGUUUUUAAAAAUUUAAAGAAUCUGGAAUAAUCACGUAGUCCCAAUUGAGUUUAUGGCACAUUUUGGCCUCAAUUAGCAUUUCAAGCUUAAAGGGUUCGAUCAUCUUUAACUUACCUUUGAUCCUGCCCUAAGGACCAUCUACUUGCCGGAAACAUUUUACAAUACGGCAUAGAUGAGGUAGAGGAAGAAAAGCAGGAUGGCCAGGAUGCCAAAGGUGGUGAACAAGUUGCGGGCUUCGCUCAUCUUGAUUUAAUUUGC